rnacentral:rRNA from 1 species
UACGUAGGGCGCAAGCGUUUGUCCGGAAUUAUUGGGCGUAAAGAGCUCGUAGGCGGCUUGUCACGUCGGGUGUGAAAGCCCGGGGCUUAACCCCGGGUCUGCAUUCGAUACGGGCUGGCUAGAGUGUGGUAGGGGAGAUCGGAAUUCCUGGUGUAGCGGUGAAAUGCGCAGAUAUCAGGAGGAACACCGGUGGCGAAGGCGGGUCUCUGGGCCGAUACUGACGCUGAGGAGCGAAAGCGUGGGGAGCGAACAGG